GGGCGGCGGGGCUUGUCCACCAUCCCUCACCUCCCUCCGCUGGACACUUCCCUUCCACGCUCGGAUGCCCAGCAGCGCCUGUUUUCUUACAUCCCUCCUGUCGUGUCUGCGGGGCUGCCCUGAAGGCCUCCUUCCCUCCAGGGAAGAAAGGGAUCCAAAGCUAGGGGUGAAAAUAGGGCCAGCAAUAUCUAGCAGACUGGUCCUGGCCAGGAGAAGGGGUUAAGGGAGCCACUCAUUCUUCACCUGGGUACCCUUCAAAGAGGAGAACCAGAUCCUACGGGAAGCUAGGUGCCAGAACUCCUGCCUUUCCAAGACGAGAUCAUCCCCAUCAUCACCAUACCAGGAAUACUUGUUCAUAGCCAGCCCAGAGGUGCACCAUACUUUAGCUUCCCAAGGCCUUCACUUGUUCUCUCCUGUGGGUGAAUUCUAACUAGGCUCGCCUGUCACCAAAGAUGGAAACAGAGAAUAGAUCCUAAACACCAGGGAGAUGGUGACGAGGUGAUAGAGAAACAGAUGGCACAUUCAAACAAGGGCCCUGAAGUGAUCCUCCUCCUGUUCACUGACACCCAUUGCCGAGAGAGAGAGAAAAAGAGAGAGAAAGAGAGAGAGAGAAGCAGGAAGAGAGGAGAGGGUGCUGGCCUUAUUAGAGAAAGAA